GGUGAGAUGGCCGAGUUGGUCUAAGGCGCCAGGUUAAGGUUACAGCUUAACACAAGAUUGUUACAAUCUCCUGGUCUAGUAAUAGGCGUGGGUUCGAAUCCCACUCUCAUCA
rfam:Botryotinia fuckeliana BcDW1 unplaced genomic scaffold Scaffold_305, whole genome shotgun sequence.